rnacentral:misc_RNA from 1 species
UGGUUCUGGCAUCGAUGAAGAACGCAGCGAAAUGCGAUAAGUAAUGUGAAUUGCAGAAUUCAGUGAAUCAUCGAAUCUUUGAACGCACAUUGCGCCCCUUGGCAUUCCGAGGGGCAUGCCCGUUCGAGCGUCAUUAAAUCCACUCAAGCCUGGCUUGGUCUUGGGCGCCGGGGACUCCCCGCGCCUCCAUUUUGCCGGCUGGCCGUCGUUUGACUUAGCGUUGUGACACAUGUCGCUGACGUCGAAGGCGGACCGCGCCGUGAGAACCCCCUUGAGCGUCCACCGACGUUCAGUAAAGGUUGACCUCGGAUCGGGUAGGGAUACCCGCUGA